rnacentral:rRNA from 1 species
AACGAACGCUGGCGGCAUGCCUAACACAUGCAGGUCGAACGAGACCUUCGGGUCUAGUGGCGCACGGGUGCGUAACGCGUGGGAACCUGCCUUUAGGUUCGGAAUAACUCAGAGAAAUUUGAGCUAAUACCGGAUGAUGUCUUCGGACCAAAGAUUUAUCGCCUUUAGAUGGGCCCGCGUUGGAUUAGCUAGUUGGUGGGGUAAAGGCCUACCAAGGCGACGAUCCAUAGCUGGUCUGAGAGGAUGAUCAGCCACACUGAGACUGAGACACGGCCCAGACUCCUACGGGAGGCAGCAGUGGGGAAUAUUGGACAAUGGGCGAAAGCCUGAUGCAGCAAUGCCGCGUGAGUGAUGAAGGCCUGAGGGUUGUAAAGCUCUUUUAUCCGAGAUGAUAAUGACAGUAUCGGGAGAAUAAGCUCCGGCUAACUCCGUG